UCCUCGAUAGCUCAGUUGGUAGAGCAAGGGACUGUUAAUCCCUGGGUCGUAGGUUCGAGUCCUACUCGAGGAGCCA
rnacentral:tRNA from 1 species